AUUGAACGCUGGCGGCAGGCCUAACACAUGCAAGUCGAGCGCGAAAGUUCUUCGGAAUGAGUAAAGCGGCGGACGGGUGAGUAAUACAUGGGAAUCUGCCUGGUAGUGGGGGACAACGUUUCGAAAGGAACGCUAAUACCGCAUACACCCUACGGGGGAAAGGGGGGAUCUUCGGACCUCUCGCUAUCAGAUGAGCCCAU
rnacentral:rRNA from 1 species